GAUGAACGCUGGCGGCGUGCCUAAUACAUGCAAGUCGAGCGAACAGACGAGGAGCUUGCUCCUCUGACGUUAGCGGCGGACGGGCGAGUAACACGUGGAUAACCUACUUAUAAGACUGGGAGAACUUCGUGAAACCGGAGCUAAUACCGGAUAAUAUAUUGAACCGCAUGGUUCAAUGGUGAUUCACGGUUUUGCUGUCACUUAUAGAUGGAUCCGCGCCGCAUUAGCUAGUUGGUAAGGUAACGGCUUACCAAGGCAACGAUGCGUAGCCGACCUGAGAGGGUGAUCGGCCACACUGGAACUGAGACACGGUCCAGACUCCUACGGGAGGCAGCAGUAGGGAAUCUUCCGCAAUGGGCGAAAGCCUGACGGAGCAACGCCGCGUGAGUGAUGAAGGUCUUCGGAUCGUAAAACUCUGUUAUUAGGGAAGAACAAAUGUGUAAGUAACUAUGCACGUCUUGACGGUACCUAAUCAGAAAGCCACGGCUAACUACGUG
rnacentral:rRNA from 1 species